UACGGAGGGUGCAAGCGUUAAUCGGAAUUACUGGGCGUAAAGCGCACGUAGGUGGUUUUGUAAGCCAGAUGUGAAAGCCCCGGGCUCAACCUGGGAACUGCAUUUGGGACUGCAAGGCUGGAGUACGGCAGAGGGAGGUGGAAUUCCACGUGUAGCAGUGAAAUGCGUAGAGAUGUGGAGGAACACCGAUGGCGAAGGCAGCCUCCUGGGCUAGUACGUGACGCUCA
rnacentral:rRNA from 1 species